rnacentral:rRNA from 1 species
UACGGAGGGGACUAGCGUUGUUCGGAAUUACUGGGCGUAAAGCGCACGUAGGCGGAUUUGUAAGUCGGGGGGUGAAAGCCCGAGGCUCAACCUCGGAACUGCCUUCGAUACUGCGGGUCUCGAGUCCGGGAGAGGUGAGUGGAAUUCCUAGUGUAGAGGUGAAAUCGUAGAUAUUAGGAAGAACACCAGUGGCGAGGCGGCUCACUGGCCCGGUACUGACGCUGAGGCGCGAAAGCGUGGGGAGCAA